UACGUAGGGGGCAAGCGUUGUCCGGAUUUAUUGGGCGUAAAGAGCUCGUAGGCGGUUCUGUAAGUCGAGUGUGAAAAAUCUGGGCUCAACCCAGUGGAGCACUCGAUACUGCAGUGACUCGAGUCCGGUAGGGGAGUGUGGAAUUCCUGGUGUAGCGGUGAAAUGCGCAGAUAUCAGGAGGAACACCAACGGCGAAGGCAGCACUCUGGGCCGGUACUGACGCUGAGGAGCGAAAGCAUGUGUAGCGAACAGU
rnacentral:rRNA from 1 species